rnacentral:lncRNA from 1 species
AAGAAUGCAGAGUCAGGGAGAUGGCGCAGAGACAAUGCUGCUGUCCAUUGAAGCCCUCCAAAGGUCGGAGAUUCGAUCACAGGACAGCCUGGCCUGGACCAAGUAAGUUUAUCCCUACUCUCUGACUCCUUCUGAGAUGCGGAAGGAGUUGGUGGAUAGAGCGGUCUUUGUGCAUCUCCUCUCCCCUCUGAGUGUGUAACCCUGAGCUGGGAGCCUUGGGCUUUAGAGCGCGCAGGGAUCCCUCUGGGCAGAGGAGGGAACACCACGUGACUUGGCCUUGUUGGUGAGUUUAGGGAUAGUGAGUUUUGUGCUCUGGGCAGCAUCUGGAGAGCCUUGGUGGAAGAGCCUCAUGGGGGACUCGGAAGCAGUUCCCUAGAACAGAAUGCUGAGAAAGCUGAGAGGUUUCAGGGACCUUCACCCUAACCCACCGCUAGGGAGGUGCAGGUACUGGGGUGGUUUGAACUGUAUAAUUGUUAAAGCAUGGGCUGCCCUGUGGGUGGCUGCUUCGACUCCCCAAACUUAACCACUAAGAACUUUUACUAUUAGGGAUGUUUUAAACAGACAGACAAGUAGACAGACAGACGGACCCUACAAACAGAAGCAGCAAAACCCUCUGCAUUUGUGAGUGUGCAUUGGCAAGUUCUCACAAAAUAAUCAGGGCCAUUCUUUCUGUUUUUCGUUUUCUUUUUCUAGUUUUGUUUUUGUUUUUUUUUUUUUUUUCCCCGAGGCAUGGUGGUCUCUGUGUGUAGUUCUGGCUGUCCUGGAACGCACUCUGUAGACCAAGCUGGACUCAAACGCAUGGAGAUGCCACUGCACUCUGCCUCCCAAGUGCUGGAACUAAAGGCGUGGGCCGCCACUGCCUGGUGCCCAUGUACAUCUUCAUUGCUCUAGACUCUAGACUUGUGGACCUGGGCAGGUAGGAAAUUAUGGUUCUGCUGAUUAUUGCAGCACUGAUUGUAGAUACCGAAGCCUUGCACAUACACGGAAAGCCACUCUGCUGCAGAAUUGUAUGCUCCUUGUAAUAGUAAAGGAAUAAUUAAACUUGGAAAUUAAAAAAAAAAGAAAUGAUUUGAGAUACUAAGGUCUAUAAUAAUACACAAUGUGCCUAAGUCGAGCAAGUCCUAUUUUAAAAGUAGGUCAGAUGCUAUGUAUUUAUAGGAAUGUCUGCAUUUGUGUGAAAGUGUAUACAAGAUACUUGUAUUUCUUGUUAUUCAUACCAAAGGAGAAGUAAUGAAGUGAUAGAUAUAGUUCCUAUUUACCACAAUAACUACUAUAUUCAAAUACAGUACUUUUUUUGCUGAGUUUUAAAUCAUAUGUAGGAAAAUGUAAGCUUCCUCUAGAGUCUAGAACGCUAAAGAAAUGACCUGGUACCC